GCGCUUGCUUUGGCAGCACAUAUACUAAAAUUGGAAGGAUCCAGAGCAGAUUAGCAUGGCCCCUGUGCCAGGAUGACAUGCAAAUUUGUAAAGCUCUUAAAAAAAUUUUU